rnacentral:rRNA from 1 species
UACGAAGGGGGCUAGCGUUGUUCGGAAUUACUGGGCGUAAAGCGCGCGCAGGCGGUCUUCCAAGUCAGUGGUGAAAGCCCGGAGCUCAACUCCGGAACUGCCAUUGAAACUGUUAGACUUGAGGAUGAGAGAGGUGAGUGGAAUUCCCAGUGUAGAGGUGAAAUUCGUAGAUAUUGGGAAGAACACCGGUGGCGAAGGCGGCUCACUGGCUCAUUACUGACGCUCAGGCGCGAUAGCGUGGGGAGCGAACAGG